rnacentral:lncRNA from 1 species
AGACAACUCCUGCACCCCCCCAAAAAGCUCUGCCUAGACCAGCAGGCUUUAGCCAUGGACCCCUUUGGGAAUUUAAUAAAAACUGUGAAACUAAAGAAAUAUGUUUGCACAUAUACACCAAAAACUUUACCAAUGAUCUUAAGAGUACCCCCAAAUUUGGAAAACAAAAGUCUUCAUCCAUGAACCUAGGUUUAGACUUACUAUUACAAGUGCAAAAUGGGCAACAAGAAGAAUUAGAGGAUUCUCCACUCAGGAGGAGUGCAGUCCUGCUAUAUGGUCUUCUGCUUGACUUGUUUUCUCAUGUAGACAUUUUCCUCUAGCAAACAUAGUCCAUUUUUGUCAGAUGAGACAUUAAGCUCAGAGAGGCAGCGUGGCUGGCCCAAGGCCACUCAGCUAAAUGCUGACAGGACCCUGACCACAACCCAUCAAACAGAGAUGAAAAGUUCUAUCAAAGUCAUGAAGUUUUCCAUAUGGAUGUUUUUUAGAUCUUCUCUUUCUCCGUGCCCCCAUUACUUCUUCCCCCAUAUACGUUUAUACAAUGAGUUUCCUUAUUAUAUUACAUAUUCCUCAGUGCUUAGCAAAGGGCCUGGUACAUAGUCGGCACUCAGUGACUCUUGGGUGAAUGGAAGUUCAUUAUUCUGAGAAAGAGAUUAGAGAGAUUAGCUUCCACUAAGUGUGUUUCUCAGUUCAUGUUCUGCCUUCAAAGAUUAUCUCUGGGACAUGAAUCAGUUCUUUGACAUGUUACUCUUUGUUUCUCCUGUAAUCCCCACUCAUUCUGUGUGCACAUGCGCAUGUGCGUGUGUGCGCGCGCACACACACACACACACUUUUUAAACUGAUAUGUGAUAAGUAAAACCAAGAUGAACUGAAUCUAGUUUAAACAUCUAACACUAAGCAGACUUUCACUC